rnacentral:rRNA from 1 species
UACGUAGGGUGCGAGCGUUAAUCGGAAUUACUGGGCGUAAAGGGUGCGCAGGCGGUCUCGUAAGCUGGGUGUGAAAGCCCCGGGCUUAACCUGGGAAUGGCCAUGGAAACUGGCGAACUGGAGUGCGGCAGAGGGGGGUGGAAUUCCGCGUGUAGCAGUGAAAUGCGUAGAGAUGCGGAGGAACACCGAUGGCGAAGGCAGCCCCCUGGGCUAGCACUGACGCUGAGGCACGAAAGCGUGGGGAGCAAACAGG